rnacentral:siRNA from 1 species
UCAAACCGCCUAAACCUCCUG